rnacentral:rRNA from 1 species
UGAGCAAUCUGCCCUUCUCAUCGGAAUAAGCGUUGGAAACGACGUCUAAUGCCGAAUACGACCUCCUUUCGCAUGAUCGGAGGUGGAAAGCUCCGGCGGAGAAGGAUGAGCUCGCGGCCUAUCAGCUAGUUGGUGUGGUAAUGGCCCACCAAGGCGACGACGGGUAGCCGGCCUGAGAGGGCGACCGGCCACACGUGGGACUGAGACCACCGGCCCAGACUCCGUACGGGAGCAG